rnacentral:rRNA from 1 species
UUCGCAAUGCCCGAAAGGGUGACGAAGCGACGCCGCGUGGGUGAGGAAGGCCCUCGGGUUGUAAAGCCCUGUCAGGGGUUAAGAAAUGUAAGUGUGUUAAUACCACAUUUAUUUGACGAAGGCUCCAAAGGAAGCCACGGCUAACUCUGUGCCAGCAGCCGCGGUAAUACAGAGGUGGCAAGCGUUGUUCGGAAUUAUUGGGCGUAAAGAGCACGUAGGUGGGUUUGUAAGUCAGAUGUGAAUGCCUUCUGUUCAACGGAAGAAUUGCAUCUGAAACUGCGAAUCUUGAGUGUAGGAGGGGAGAAUGGAACUUCUGGUGGAGCGGUGAAAUGCGUAGAUAUCAGAAGGAACGCCGGCGGCGAAAGCGAUUCUCUGGCCUAUCACUGACACUCAGUGUGCGAAAGCUAGGGGAGCAAACGGGAUUAGAUACCCCGGUAGUCCUAGCCGUAAACGAUGGGCACUAAGUAGAGGGGUUUU